UAGGCUGGUCAUGCCUCUGGUAUGUACUGGUCUCACUGAUUCCUCCUUCCUGAUGAACCGUAAUGCCAUUAAUUUGGUGUUGCGGGGAAUUUGGGCUGUUACUUUGAAAAAAUUAGAGUGUUUAAAGCAAGCUAACGCUUGAAUACAUUAGCAUGGAAUAAUGAAAUAGGACGUUCGAUCCUAUUUUGUUGGUUUCUAGGAUUGACGUAAUGAUUAAUAGGGAUAUUGGGGGCAUUAGUAUUCAAUUGUCAGAGGUGAAAUUCUUGGAUUUAUUGAAGACUAACUACUGCGAAAGCAUUUGCCAAGGAAGUUUUCAUUAAUCAAGAACGAAAGUUAGGGGAUCGAAGACGAUCAGAUACCGUCGUAGUCUUAACCAUAAACUAUGCCGACUAGGGAUCGGAUGAUGUUAAUUUUUUAAUGACUCAUUCGGCGCCUUACGGGAAAC
rnacentral:rRNA from 2 species